AAAGUCUGAAAUAAUAAACAGCUGAGAUUCUGACCUGGGAAUAGGGGCAAGGAGGAAGGCAGGAGCAUGCGCUAUGUCCCAGACAAAACCCAAAACCUUCUUGGUCAGCUACAAAGCUAUUGUCUGUGAAAACUGCAGCAACAUGUCAGAAGUGUGCAACUGUCCCCAGUUCACUACCCUGUAAAAGAUGUGUGGCCAAAAAAGGGAAAAAAAAUCGAGGAAUGCCUGCCUUAUUCAGCCUCCUACUCUUCCCCACUCCAACAUCCAUGUACUACCCCCCCCCCCCCGCAUGAUCCCAAUUUCAUUCUACACAUUGAUAAGUUGAUACAUUGAGAAAACUCCACCCCAUGGAAAACAAUGGAAUGAAAAGGAAAGUCAGAGAAAGCCCUUUCAGCUCAUGAACAAUAUGGCUAUAUCAGCCUAAAUACCCUGCAGCCAUG
rnacentral:lncRNA from 1 species